UCUUUAAUGAAUGGAUCUGUGAUUCUGACUUCGACUGCGCCCCCAUCUCCCUCUUUGCGCCUGUGUCCAGGGAGCAGGGAUGGGGCUGCGGGAGGGCUCGGGCCUACGCCCCCACCUGCCGGCUGCCUGGAUGCUGUCGGACUGGGGGAAGUGGAGGCAGGCGGUGCAAGGAGAAGCUGAGGCGGGGCAGGGACCUGCGCUGUCGAGGAGGAGCUGGGUCUGGCUCUUGCAUCUUGCCCUGUCCCCAGCCCCUGUACCCCAGAAAAAGGGGAGCCCUCUGCCUCUGGACCCCUGCCUUGGCCCUAGUUCAUGGCUCCUCUCUGUUGGACUGGGAUGGCCGAGGCUAUAGCCCAGGCGGGGCCCCGGGGACCCAGGGUCACUCCCAGCCACACCCCCACUUCUCACUCCGCCCCACACACUCCUUCCCCAGAGACCCAUGCUGCCCCCAUCUCACGCUGGCCUCGCCCGGCCUCCACCACCUGAACCCAUCUCUGUCCCUUCUUGCCUAAUCUCUCUCUGUGUCUCCCUCUCUGUCUGUCUCUGUCCCGGGCUCUGCAUCUCUCUCCACCUCUCCCUUGGCCUCCCUGUCUCUCCCCAACACCCCUCUCUGCCUUACUGUCUUUGGGAGCCCAAACCCUACCCCUAGCUUGGGUUCCCCUUGACCCCCCCGGGGUCCCAGCCAGCUGGGAGGGCAGCCCUGCCCCUCGGGCUCCGAAACCCUGGGCCCGGUGCCUGACUCUGCACCCCCCGCCUGCCCUAGGUUACCACGGCAGCAGCUACAGCCCCGAAGGGGUGGAGCCCGUCAGCCCUGUGAGCUCACCCAGUCUGACCCACGACAAGGGGCUCCCCAAGCACCUGGAAGAGCUCGACAAGAGCCACCUGGAGGGGGAGCUGCGGCCCAAGCAGCCAGGCCCCGUGAAGCUUGGCGGGGAGGCCGCCCACCUCCCACACCUGCGGCCGCUGCCUGAGAGCCAGCCCUCGUCCAGCCCGCUGCUCCAGACCGCCCCAGGGGUCAAAGGUCACCAGCGGGUGGUCACCCUGGCCCAGCACAUCAGUGUAACUACGCGUUCUCUGCUGCUGCUUGUCACCUUUGCACCUGGGGGCACCAGGCCUGGAGAGGGGAUGGGGAACCCCACAGCCCUUCUGUCCUGGCGGGGUGGCUGGGGGAUCCAGGGCAUGGCGCUGGGGGGAUCCAGGGCGUGGGUGAGGGUGAGAUCCCAAAGCCCCGAGCACCGGCACCAUCACCGCCCCCUAAUCCAUGGGAGGAGCCUGUGAUGCGAGCCGAUGGCAUCUUCACGGGCAAUGAGGCCUUCCUGGUGGCCCAGGUUUCUCAGUGUCAUGGGCUGGUCUCAUCAGCCAUCUGCCAACUACCAGCUUGGGACCGCUGACCACAGCCCCACUCCCAUGCACACUGGGACACGGAGGCCCAGAGGGUGGCGGGCAGGUCCACAGUCACCCAGGAAGCUGGCCCCACCCAGGAUUCUGCCCCGAGCUCCGUCUAGCCCCUCCCCACCCCCAGAAGGUUCUGUCAGGAGAGUGCUGCCUGACUCUGGGCCCCCCCACUUGCCUGCAGGAGGUCAUCACACAGGACUACACCCGGCACCACCCACAGCAGCUCAGCGCACCCCUGCCCGCCCCCCUCUACUCCUUCCCUGGGGCCAGCUGCCCCGUCCUGGACCUCCGCCGCCCACCCAGUGACCUCUACCUCCCGCCCCCGGACCAUGGUGCCCCGGCCCGUGGCUCCCCCCACAGCGAAGGGGGCAAGAGGUCUCCAGAGCCAAACAAGACGUCGGUCUUGGGUGGUGGUGAGGACGGUAUUGAACCUGUGUCCCCACCGGAGGGCAUGACGGAGCCAGGGCACUCCCGGAGUGCUGUGUACCCGCUGCUGUACCGGGAUGGGGAACAGACGGAGCCCAGCAGGAUGGGCUCCAAGUCUCCAGGCAACACCAGCCAGCCGCCAGCCUUCUUCAGCAAGCUGACCGAGAGCAACUCCGCCAUGGUCAAGUCCAAGAAGCAAGAGAUCAACAAGAAGCUGAACACCCACAACCGGAAUGAGCCUGAAUACAGUAAGGGGCCUGCAGGCUCCCGGGGAAGCAUGGGGCCACAGGUGGGCGGGUGGCCUGCCUGGGCAGCUGGAGCCGCCCAGUGGCAGAAACCCACGGUGCACCUUCGAAAGCUAAGUGGCCCUGCUGACCACCUCCCCCCAGGCCCUUUGCCUCACAUUUGGGGAGCCCCAGGGCAGUUUCUUGAUUUGCUGGGCUUUCCAUAGGAGCUUACUGGCACAGAAGAAUAGCACCCAGCACAUAGUAGGUGCCCAGUGAAUACCUGCAUGAAUACUGGGACCAGGGGUUGGAUCCCUCCCACACAAGGGCCGGGCGCCUCCCACACUCAGCACCUGUGUGGCUUUGCACCCAUUGACGUGGUUGCUGGGUAUGAACGCCCCACUCUGCUUCCCAGUCCCUAGCACAGCGCCUGGCAGUUAGCAGAUCCACCAGGGAAUACGUGAGUGGGUGGGCAAAUAAAGAAUCUGUCACAGUCCCCGACCCCAAGAAGCCUCAUCUGCCAGGGAAGUUUGGACAAAUCACAGAUGCUUUUCCCUUCCUGGGGCUGGAGUAGAAACCUUGCAGAUAGUCACUGGCUUGCCGGGCACGGUGGCUCAUGCCUAUAGGCCCAGCACUUUGGGAGGAUGAGGCAGGAGGAUUGCUUGAAGCCAGGAGUUCGAGACCAGUCUGUGCAACAUAGCAAGACCCCAUCUCUACAAAAAACUUUAAAAACAGGCACACACCUAUAGUCCAAGCUACUGGGGAGGCUGAGAUAGGAGGAUUUCUUGAGCCUCGGAGGUCAAGGCUGCAGUGAGCUAUGAUCACACCACUGCACUCCAGCCUGGACAACAGAGCAAGACACUGUCUU
rnacentral:lncRNA from 1 species